AGAGUUUGAUCCUGGCUCAGGACGANCGCUGGCGGCGUGCCUAAUACAUGCAAGUCGAGCGGACGAUUAAAAGCUUGCUUUUGAUCGUCAGCGGCGAACGGGUGAGUAACACGUGGGCAACCUGCCUGUAAGACCGGGAUAACUUGCGGAAACGUGAGCUAAUACCGGAUAAUCUCCUUUUUCGCAUGAAGAAGGACUGAAAGACGGCGCAAGCUGUCACUUACAGAUGGGCCCGCGGCGCAUUAGCUGGUUGGUGAGGUAACGGCUCACCAAGGCGACGAUGCGUAGCCGACCUGAGAGGGUGAUCGGCCACACUGGGACUGAGACACGGCCCAGACUCCUACGGGAGGCAGCAGUAGGGAAUCUUCCGCAAUGGACGCAAGUCUGACGGAGCAACGCCGCGUGAGCGAUGAAGGCCUUCGGGUCGUAAAGCUCUGUUGUCAGGGAAGAACAAGUACCGGAGUAACUGCCGGUACCUUGACGGUACCUGACCAGAAAGCCACGGCUAACUACGUGCCAGCAGCCGCGGUAAUACGUAGGUGGCAAGCGUUGUCCGGAAUUAUUGGGCGUAAAGCGCGCGCAGGCGGUCCCUUAAGUCUGAUGUGAAAGCCCCCGGCUUAACCGGGGAGGGUCAUUGGAAACUGGGGGACUUGAGUGCAGAAGAGAAGAGCGGAAUUCCACGUGUAGCGGUGAAAUGCGUAGAGAUGUGGAGGAACACCAGUGGCGAAGGCGGCUCUUUGGUCUGUAACUGACGCUGAGGCGCGAAAGCGUGGGGAGCAAACAGGAUUAGAUACCCUGGUAGUCCACGCCGUAAACGAUGAGUGCUAAGUGUUAGAGGGUUUCCGCCCUUUAGUGCUGCAGCUAACGCAUUAAGCACUCCGCCU
rnacentral:rRNA from 1 species